GAACGAAGGGGCUUAGUGAGACAAGUGAUGUUAUGCAGAUCCAUACACACGGGCCAAGUCCAACUCAACUCACCCAAAACCCUAAAAUUUCACACCUGCCGCACACAGCUCCCCCUCACUCUCGACCAGAAGCUCCGGCGACCGGAGAAUGGAGUCUGGCGCCCGUUACCUGUCCGGCGAGCCAACCUCGGACUCCCUAUUCUCAAGUAUCAUCUCAACCCACACACUCUUCCCUCUUGUACACCUCUACACCCACCCUCAUGGCCUCCUUUAACCCCCCUUUUUGCACCUGUGAACACACACAUACAUCCCGAAGAUGCUGGAAAGAAGUGAUUGGAGAAGGAGUGAGAGAGAGAGGACGGAAUAGUGAGAGAAACAGCUGUCUCCGGCGACCCUGUUUUCCGGCAACCGAGUAAAUCACGGCGGCGGUGGCCAUCAGACCACGGCGACGACACUUAGAGUCCAGAAAUCAGGUUCGUCAGCGGGUGUUUGGUUCGAGUUUAUAGCGGCAGUGGUCGUGGUGGUAAAUUCCUCUUGGGAUCGAGUCUGGGUGUCGGGUAUCGGUUCAGGAAGGAAACAAUGGCAGCCUACACUCUCACUCGUUCCAUGCUUCCUUCGGUCGGAGAUGAAGUUUUCCUCAAAAGCAUUCUAAACUCUAGCGAGACUGUAGCAAGAGGAAGGGUCCAGAGCUUGGACCCAAAUGAUCUAGUUGGUGGUACGGAGAUUGGACCAGAAUGGUGUGAGGUAGUCCAUGAGGAUUGAGGACGCAUGAUGGCUAAAGAUUUUAUGCUUCUUAUUUCUUUAAUUGCUUUUAAUUUCUUUGUUAAAUGUUAAGAGUUUAUGUUAGAUAAUGUUAUAACUUAAUUAUGGUUAGUGUUUUUGUUAUGAACAUGCUUAUUUGAAAUAUAAUGAAGUUUUAUUUCUUUUAUU